GACGAACGCUGGCGGCGUGCUUCAUACAUGCAAGUCGAACGAGGUCCAUCGAGUGGCAACACUCGUGAAGACCUAGUGGCGAACGGGUGAGUAACACGUGAGGAACCUGCCCCGAUCUCUGGGAUAACAGUGGGAAACCGCUGCUAAUACCGGAUGGGCUCGGAAGACGACAUCGCCUAACGAGGAAAGCUUUUGCGGACCGGGAGGGCCUCGCGGCCUAUCAGCUUGUUGGUGGGGUAACGGCCUACCAAGGCAUCGACGGGUAGCUGGUCUGAGAGGACGACCAGCCACACUGGGACUGAGACACGGCCCAGACUCCUACGGGAGGCAGCAGUAGGGAAUCUUGCGCAAUGGGCGAAAGCCUGACGCAGCAACGCCGCGUGGGGGAUGAAGGCCCUCGGGUUGUAAACCCCUUUCAGCAGGAACGAAUCUGACGGUACCUGCAGAAGAAGGUCCGGCCAACUACGUGCCAGCCGCCGCAGUAACAC
rnacentral:rRNA from 1 species